CGCCCCGGUCAAACUUUGGCAUUAGUGAGUUUGGCAAAUGUUAGCACUGGUGAACUGGAUGAAGAGAGUAGCCAGUUGUAACUUGGCGAAAACUUAAUUAUUAAUAUGGAUGUUAAUUUCAGAUAACGAGGGCGAUGGGCGUUUAUUAAAUACGGGUCGUUUAAUAGAGAGGGGAUUUUAACAAGAAACUAAUUUGACUGGGGCGUCUAUUAGAGGCGUUUGUUAAUAUAAAGUCACUCGGAGUUCCUCAGCGGACAAAACGGUCCUUAAUUGGUUACUCCUAGUUAUGAUAAAUGUCCCUCUCAGAUAAUUUACUACCUGGAAAUACGUUGAUGACUCAACAUUAUCAGAAACUGUUUUAAAGGUAAUCAGAGCGAAAUGUAAUUAGCAAUUGACCAAGUUUCGGAUUGGUCAAAAGAGAACGUUUUCCAGCUUAAGUGUGACACAACUAAAGAACUCGUCAUGAGCUUCAGCCACUCUAAUCGACAAGAUAACAUUCUGAUAAUUAAUAUAGAUGGAAACCAUUGGCACAGCAACCAAAGCAAAAUUACUGAGUGUAAUGAUAUGCGUAGUGAAAAAGCUUCUGGAAAAUUGUUUUUUCUGGUAGCGCUAACACUCUAAAGCAUGUGUAUUUUCCGGAAAAGGUGUGUAUAUUUGCAAGAUAAAGAUGUGUAAAAAAACACGCCUUAAGGUGUUUUUUUGUUUGUUUUUUGCUUGUCGCCAAAUUCACACACCUUAAGGCGUGUUUUUCAAAAAGAUGUAUAUUUUUUUACACACCUGAAGGUGUGUAUUUUGCCCUGAAUCUCUGGCGAACAAAUUACACACUUUAAGGCGUGCAUUUUCACACACAUUACAAGGUGUGCAAAAUAACACACCUUUUCGCUUGAUACACAGCUUGCAAAUACACACCUUGGAAUGUGUGCAAAAUUACACACCACAGUCGACCUUGUGAUUCGACUUGAAGAAACAAAGAACUUUCACAUUUUUAAGAAUCUUGUAUAAUUUCAGGAAUUUCUAUAUAAUUGGAGCUAAUGCUAUAGUAUAGUUAAAUGCAC